CUGUCUCUUGCUUCAACAGUGUUUGGAAUGAACAG
rfam:Fukomys damarensis contig157757, whole genome shotgun sequence.